rnacentral:rRNA from 1 species
CCUACGGGAGGCAGCAGUGAGGAAUAUUGGUCAAUGGGCGCGAGCCUGAACCAGCCAAGUAGCGUGAAGGAUGACUGCCCUACGGGUUGUAAACUUCUUUUAUAAGGGGAUAAAGUGCGCCACGUGUGACGUUUUGUAUGUACCGCAUGAAUAAGGACCGGCUAAAUCCGUGCCAGCAGCCGCGGUAAUACGGAGGGUCCGGGCGUUAUCCGGAUUUAUUGGGUUUAAAGGGAGCGUUGGUCGGAUGUUAAGCGUGGUGUGAAAGUUUGCGGCUCAACCAUCGCACUGCGAUUGAAACUGGCGUGCUUGAGUGCACGGGACGUAGGCGGAAUUCGUGGUGUAGCGGUGAAAUGCUUAGAUAUCACGAAGAACUCCGAUUGCGAAGGCAGCCUACGGAAGCGCUACUGACGCUGAAGCUCGAAGGCGUGGGUAUCAAACAGGAUUAGAUACCCCAGUAGUC